rnacentral:rRNA from 1 species
UACGGAGGAUGCGAGCGUUAUCCGGAUUUAUUGGGUUUAAAGGGUGCGCAGGCGGAGGUGCAAGUCAGCGGUCAAAUUGCGGGGCUCAACCCCGUACUGCCGUUGAAACUGGGGAUCUAGAGUGUGCGAGAGGUAUGCGGAAUGCGUGGUGUAGCGGUGAAAUGCAUAGAUAUCACGCAGAACUCCGAUUGCGAAGGCAGCAUACCGGCGGCGAUCUGACGCUGAGGCACGAAAGCGUGGGUAUCGAACAGG